ensembl:processed_transcript Gm16169 predicted gene 16169
AACAAUUGGCAUUCAGGAUCUAAGGCACAGGAAAGUGAAAGAGAGGAAACAGCAGAUAAGAUCAUGUUGUCCUCUAAGAGGCUUCACACAGCAGCUGACUCAGACAGAUGCAGAUACUAACAGCCAAACUGUAGAUGGAGCUUGGGGACUCUAAUGGAAGAAUGGGAAGAAGGAUUGUGGGCCAAAAAGGGAAGAACACACUUUUAAAGAUCUGGCCAUUUUACCCUGCAUAUGGUGCUAGAAAAUGACACCAUGACCCAAGGUAACAUAAUAAAAUUUCUCUGACAUCAUUUCCCAAAACAGGGAUUCAACUAGCAGUCCUCUGUAGGGAAGAAGAGCUCCCCCCACACCCCCAACUCAGUAGUGGGUGUGAGAAACCUUGACUCUAACAGUGAGAAAGUUGAGUUGAAUAGUAAGCCAAACAGUUUGCUUUGCUUGCACUUCCACCUGCCACAACACACCUGCAGCACUGUAGCUGGAGAUGUUCCCCAUGCCUAGAGUUCUACAGUGGGAAACGGUCAUUGCAGACAGAUAUUCAGCUUUCCCCAUCUCAUCCUUUUCAGGAGGCUUAGGUAUGUAUUUUCACCUGGGAAAUACUGGGCUUGCCAGGAGAGCCAAUCCACCUGUAGUCAGGUACAAAUGAGGUAUGGUUCUCAGCAGACAGGAUGUAGAUCUUGACACUGCUGUCCAUUCCACUGGGAGGUCUCACAACAGAGAAACUAGCCAAAUCAUGGCUGCCUGAAUGUCCCUGUCAGCAUCCCCAAACAGCUUGAUGUGUUGCAUCUUCUUCUGAUGACUGUGAUCAGCAACGACCUGCAGCAGAGGCAUCCACUGCUAGUAUGUCUCCCAUAGUUACAGUGCUAGAAGGCUUAUCCUCCCAAUGUAAGAUUCCUGACUAAGUCAUCGAGCAUCCUCAGAAAAGGAAAGAGAGCCACCUCAAUAAAUACAUAGAAAUCAACCAAAAAUGCAUUAAAGAUUUAAAUUCCAGACCUGAAUCCAAAACUG